UGGGGAAUCUUCCGCAAUGGACGAAAGUCUGACGGAGCAACGCCGCGUGAGUGACGAAGGUCUUCGGAUUGUAAAACUCUGUCUUUUGCGACGAACGGCUCAUAUGUGAAUAAUGUAUGGGAUUGACGGUACCAAAGGAGGAAGCCCCGGCUAACUACGUGCCAGCAGCCGCGGUAAUACGUAGGGGGCGAGCGUUGUCCGGAAUUAUUGGGCGUAAAGAGCGCGCAGGCGGUUUGUUAAGUCUACCGUGAAAGCUUACGGCUCAACCGUAACGGGUCGGUGGAUACUGGCAGACUUGAGGGCAGGAGAGGAAAGUGGAAUUCCCAGUGUAGCGGUGAAAUGCGUAGAGAUUGGGAGGAACACCAGUGGCGAAGGCGACUUCUGGACUGCAACUGACGCUGAGGCGCGAAAGCUGGGGGAGUGAACGGGAUUAGAUACCCCGGUAAUCCCAGCCGUAAACGAUGGGUACUAGGUGUAGGAGGUAUCGACCCCUUCUGUGCCGGAGUUAACGCAAUAA
rnacentral:rRNA from 1 species